CUCUUUUUUUUUUUUUUUCCUUUUCAGUCUUUGCAGUACCUGUCCCCUCCAGUCCCCAGUGCCCCUAGUUACAGCUUUCAGUGCUGUGCUUCUGGGAGCCAAAUAGGAUUCAGUUCCCCGCUGUGUUGUGCUGCUGCGUGAGGGCUGUGGCUAACAAGAUGGCUGGAAGACCCGAGAAGCAUUUGCCUUUGAUCAGAUUCACUCUCCUCUGUUUGAAAAUGGUUAUUUCAUCGAAAACAGCUCCUGAAAUACCAACUAUUGAUCAGGCAUAUUCGAAGAUCAGCAAUAGCAUCACCGUAGAAUGGACUACCGUGCCAGGCGCCACAAGUUACCUGCUCACGGCUGAAGAUGGGGACACAACCAUUGAGACCACAGUGGCCAAUUCCCCGGGCACUGUGACAGGCCUGAA
rnacentral:lncRNA from 1 species